CCUGCCCGGUGACCCAUGUUCAACGGCCGCGGUAUCCUAACCGUGCAAAGGUAGCAUAAUCACUUGCCCAUUAAUUGUGGGCUAGAAUGAAAGGACUAACGAAAUAAAAGCUGUCUCUAUAAGAUCUAUAAAAAUUAAUAUCUAACUGAAGAUCGUUAGAUAAUAUCGAAGGACAAGAAGACCCUAUAGAGCUUUAUUUAAACAGGAAUAUAUUUCCUCCUAUAAUUCGGUUGGGGCGACCGGGGAAAAUUAUUAUCAUCCCUAAAAGUAAGAUAAAUAAAUCUCAGAAAAGACCCUUAAUAAAGAUCAUAAAAAUAAGCUACCUUAGGGAUAACAGGCUAAUCCCACUAAAGAGUCCUUAUCAAUAGUGGGGGUUGGCACCUCGAUGUUGGCUUAGGGAAACUAUGUGGCGCAAAAGUCACAUAAAGAUGGUUUGUUCAACCAAUAAAUCCCUACAUGAGCUGAGUUCAGACCGGCGUAAGCCAGGUUAGUUUCUAUCCUCGACACAUAAAUUCUACUUAUAGUACGAAAGGACCUAAGUAAGAGUAAUUAUUACAAAUAAAGAAUAAGUAUAAAAAUAUUUAAAAUUAUCAUAUCAUAGCAUA
rnacentral:rRNA from 1 species